UACGGGGGGAGCAAGCGUUGUUCGGAUUUACUGGGCGUAAAGGGUGCGUAGGCGGGUCUUUUAAGUCAGGGGUGAAAUCCUGGAGCUCAACUCCAGAACUGCCUUUGAUACUGAGGAUCUUGAGUUCGGGAGAGGUGAGUGGAACUGCGAGUGUAGAGGUGAAAUUCGUAGAUAUUCGCAAGAACACCAGUGGCGAAGGCGGCUCACUGGCCCGAUACUGACGCUGAGGCACGAAAGCGUGUGGAGCAAACAGG
rnacentral:rRNA from 1 species